ACGUUCUUGUGUUAUUUGCUGGUUGUUUUCUAUAAACCAGUGAUUGUCAAACAGAACGCAAACCAAAGCAACUAAUCACUCCAUAAUGGUGCGUCCAAUUUAGCCAGGACUACAUCGUUACUAAAUGUAUGCAACAUUC